ACUAGCCUGCACACCACUCUCAAUGUACCAGAUCUCAUUUGAUUUUAUAAGCUAACCAAGACUGGGCCUGGUUAUACCUCGGAUGGGUGACCACCAAGGAACACCAAAAAUACUCCAGGCAUGUC
rnacentral:rRNA from 1 species